CCUACGGGAGACUGCAGUGGGGAAUCUUUGGCAAUGGGCGCAAGCCUGACCCAGCAACGCCGCGUGAAGGAAGAAGGCUUUCGGGUUGUAAACUUCUUUUAUCAUGGAUGAAGCAAGUGACGUUACCUGAUCAAUAUGCCACUGCUAACUACGUGCCAGCAGCCUCGAUAAUACGUAGGUGGCAAGCGUUAUCCGGAUUUACUGGGUGUAACGGUCGUGUAGGCGGUCGUGCAAGUCAGAUGUGAAAACGAUGGGCUCAACCCAUAGCUUGAAUUUGAAACUGUACGUCUUGAGUGCUGGAAAGGAGAUCGGAAUUCAGGGUGUAGCGGUGAAAUGCGUAGAUAUAAGGAGGAACACCAGUGGCGAAGGCGGAUGGCUGGACAGUAACUGACGCUGAGGCGCGAAAGCGUGGGGAGCAAACAGGAUUAGAUACCCGGGUAGUC
rnacentral:rRNA from 1 species